rnacentral:rRNA from 1 species
AGGGAAUCUUCCGCAAUGGACGAAAGUCUGACGGAGCAACGCCGCGUGAGUGAUGAAGGUUUUCGGAUCGUAAAGCUCUGUUGCCAGGGAAGAACGUCCGUUAGAGUAACUGCUAACGGAGUGAUGGUACCUGAGAAGAAAGCCCCGGCUAACUACGUGCCAGCAGCCGCGGUAAUACGUAGGGGGCAAGCGUUGUCCGGAAUUAUUGGGCGUAAAGCGCGCGCAGGCGGCUGUUAAGUCUGGUGUUUAAUCCUGGGGCUCAACCCCGGGUCGCACUGGAAACUGGACGGCUUGAGUGCAGAAGAGGAGAGUGGAAUUCCACGUGUAGCGGUGAAAUGCGUAGAGAUGUGGAGGAACACCAGUGGCGAAGGCGACUCUCUGGGCUGUAACUGACGCUGAGGCGCGAAAGCGUGGGGAGCAAAC